CAAUAGUUAUAUUAUAUCGUCUUUGUUAAAAUAAUACUAUAUUUGUUCCAGUUUUUUACCAAACAUUUUAUUGAUAUUAAUAUUAUUAUUUUUUUAUGUUUGUUGGGCUUGCUGGAUUAUUGUACAAGUGUUGUGGGCUUACAAAAAUAAAGACAUAAAAGGCUAAGUGUGAGAUGGGCUUUUAGGGCGCUGGAACUAGCAGCUAUAUAAACAGAAGUGCAACAUCAGUCAACGUGCUGAAAAGGGAUUUUCUCAAGAGUGAGUUCAUCAUAAUGCAAGAACCUGUUCGUUCACUAUAUAAUCACCACCAGCUGUUCUUCCACUACUUACACUAGUGACCAGAUCAGUCUAGCCUUCGGCAAUGCUUACGGCAAUCAGGUUUAUGUGCCGAGAAUAGAUGAUUCGUCAACGAGGACGUUUGAGCGGCGUUCAUCGGAUAUGUUUGAGAUAUACAGGGCGUCCACGUAUGAGUUGGUAAUGUUGCGAUUUUUAUCUCUGCUCUUUAAAGAUUUUGUUUCCAUUGGCGAAAGGAAUAAACUAUGCAACCAGUGGUUGGUCACUUGAUCUUUGAACACAAACCCUAGUGGUUGUACUCCCAUUGGAAGGAUGUUGGUAUUUUCUUUCAUCUUUCUUCUACAAGGAAACACUGUAAGUUCUUCUUGUUCUCUGAGUUUUUGUGUUUUUCUACUGGAGUGGUGUUUUCUCUGUGUUAAAAAUUAGAGAAUAGCUUUCUUGUUUUUUCUAUCAUAUAUAUGGCUUCUGUUAGUGUUGUGUGAUUUAGUCUGGUAUAAAUAUCAUACUUGACCAACUCAUUAUUCUUGUUUUCUUGAUGCUCUUCUAUAUUUGUUAUAAGAUGUCUACUGGAUCCAUGAAUAAUAACACCAAUACAACUCAAACUCAUAUAAGUAGAUUAGAUUUGAGAGAUUUUAGAUUAUUCUCUUAGCGUUUCUAAACUGUCGCUUGUUAUUUUUCACACUCAGUAUCUCUCGAGGGCUAGAUUUAGGUUUUGAUCUUGGUUCGACGUGUUGUAGAACCUGUUAUCAUAUAGAUUUAGUGAGAGUUGUGACAGAUCAUUAUAUUGAUGGUCUUCAAGUGUUUGUGGGGAUUUCAUUCUUGAUUUCAUGUUAUUCUAAGCCUAGAUCUAGGGCUCUGAUCAAUUGUUGUCAACGAUUCUAUAUCUUCUGUUGGGUAUUGAAGUAUGUCAUAUCUAGAGUUGUCAGAUCAGAACCCUAGCUCUCCGAGGUCCGGUUAUAACGGUUGUCCAUUAUAGAUUAGUGGCUAGGGUUUAUUCUCAAGUUUUGUUCUUGCUGUCAAACCGUUGUUACUGGCGUUGAUAUUUGUGGUCAAAUUGUUUAAUUAGUGUGAUUAUUAUUGAUGUAUUUUGAUGAUCGAAGAUCUGAUGUAUCAUGAACUGCUUAACUUCCAUUUGAGUGAUGUAAGAAUUCUUGAAGUUAAUUCUGAUUUGUGAGGUCACUUUUUGCUGCCAUUGGUUUUGUCUUAUGGCACAACGUUUGGUUGAAUAAACUCGUAUUCCCAAGUGAAGAAUACGGUUCAGUUUAUCAUAGACAACAAACCCUAAUUAGUAGUUUGCUUGCUUUGGAGUUUUAAGCGAUUGCACUGUAAGUUUUCUAUUCCUAUUGGUUGCUAGAGUACUUGGUAAAAACUUUCUUCAUUGUUUUUUAUUUCAGUCACAGUCACACGAUUACUAUAUUGUGAUAAGCAUUUGUGACCGGGUUAGGUGGACCGUUAUUGAUCAUAGGGAGAGCCACACCCUGUUUUAUGUGUUGCAUUUCUGUGUUGUUUUUUUGUGCUUUGGGUUACAUCAUUCUUUGGUUUAGAAUGCUUGUGGGUUUUUUGGUCAUUGUUUGUCCUUUUAUUUGUUAAUAUUUAGUGAAAAUGGUUGGCACGGGACUUGUUUUUACUAAUGAAACAUUAAUAAGUAAACCGGAUGCACGUAAUUCAUUGUAUAAUCAUGCUAAUGACUCUAUCACUUUGACUUUUGUUACCAUGGAUAUGAAAGGUACUAAAAAUGUUUAGUUUGGUAAGGUGCAAUGUUACUAGCAUUAAUUGUUUAAAUUAAAGUUGGUUUCACAAAUAGGGCAUGCGGUUUUAUGAUAAUAUCUUAUCACAUUUGACAACCUUAAAUAUAGUGGAAAUGAUUUGUAUGGAAGAGAUGCCAAAAAGAAUCUUGCGAACACUUUAGACUGAAUACUUGGUUUGAUAUUGUGUUUUAAACAUUGACUCAAUAAAGUUUGUUAAUUGUACUAAUCAUUGUGCACUUACUAUUUACUGUGUUAACGCCUAAUGGCUGGAGGGGUUAAAAAGUUUGAAUUUUUUAAGAGGAAUCAUUUUUAGUAGCUUGGUUAGGGUCUCAGUAAUACUCUUUGAUCAUUCUCGUUUGUUUUCUCUCGUGUUUUACUAAAUAUAGGGUUUUAUUUGUGAUUCUACAUGUUGUAGAGUUGUAUUACCUGUUAGAUUUAGUGAGGGUUCUAAUUUCAGAUCCUCUUGUUAAUGAUCUGUGUAUUAGUGUGACUUUUUUCUUUGCAAGUUGAAUUAAGAUAAAAAUUUCAGUUUUCUUCUCUCAAAGUGUGUGAGGCACAGCAUAGAUCUAGGGUGUAUCGUAUAACAAACCUGUUAGAUCUGAUGUUGUUCUUGUAGAUAAAUCAUUAUGUUAAUGAUCUGUGAGAGUAUUAGAUCAGAUUUGAGACAUGAAAAAAAGUUCUUCAUAUUUUUUUUCUUUUAAGGUUUUAGAAGAUAAUUUUUUAGCUUCUCUUUUAGAUCCUCUCGUGUACUAGAUUUAGGAUUGUGAUCGUAGUUCUUCAAAUUUGUAGAACCGAUUAUCUGUUAGAUUUAGUUGAGUUGGUCAUCUGGUAGAUUAAGAGAUGUGAUCGUAGUGUCUUUGAUAAAUUCUUGUUGUUUACAUUGAGAGUUUAUGUUGAAUAAAGUUUUGGAUUACUAGCUCAUAUGGGUUUCAUGGUGGUUAGCUUGACCUGUAUGUCUUAUCGUCUAUAUCUUGUUGUUUGGUCAGUCGAACCGUGUGGUUCACGUGUUUAACGUCAAGAUUAUUUUUGAGUUUUAUUAUUAGUCUUGUAUGUCUUCUCUUGUGAGAGUUUUGUUUGUUUUGGUGCAAGCUGUGUGAUUGUUUUUCUUGUAAAGGUUAUACUAUCUUGAAGAUAUGUUCUUGGAUAGUGUUUGCCUUUAUCUCACUCGUCUUGGAUUUUUCAUGUUUUGAGUCCGACCGUUGUGAGGUUUGUGUAGGGUCAUUGUAUUGGUGAUCUUAUUCGUCUCUUUGAGACUUCAUCGCCGUUCGUAGUGAUGUUAGUUCACUGGUCUAGGUGAUGCUUGUUUUUUUCUUCCAUACUGGUCUAGGGUCGUUUGUAGAUUCUUCGUGUUGUUGAGUCUAGUCCCGUUAGAUCGUAGUGUUGUUUCUUGAAUGGUGUUAUAGCCUUAUGUGUUGUCUCUUGUGUAAGAGAUUUUUCUCGUUUUAAAAUCAUGUGGUUUUGUGGAUUAUCAAAAAAAAAAAUUAGGCUGUAAUCAUUGUUAUCUGAUAAGGAAUUGUGUGAUUCUUCUUGUUUUAUCAGACAUGGUUUUGGGUCUUGUGAUUCAAUUUUUUUGUAAAGUUGUAAAAGUUUUGGUUAAAUCAAAUUAGUCUUUAAGUUCUUUACAAGUUUUAACAUAAGUUGUAUUUGUAAAGUCGUAAAAUUUUUUGAUAAAUCAAAUUCUUUACAAUUGUUUGACAUGAAUUUUAGAUAUGGUUCUAAUAUUUAUAGAGUCUUGUGACUCUUGUGAGUUAUGAGAUGUGUUUCUCAUAUGGUUAUAUUGAAUCAUGUGAUUCUAUGUAUAAUCAGAAUAUUCUUUUGAUUUUUUUUUUUUUUUUGUGGGGUUCAUGAAAUUGUUUCUUGCCCUUUGGCUAUAUAAAAAAAGAGGGUUGUUAUGACAAAAUAUUUCAUUAUUUCUAAUCUCUAGUGAGAAAUUAAGCUUCUUAUGUGUAAAGUGCCACAAGUUAACCUGGAUUAAUUCUAAACUGGAGAAGUGGAUCUAGUGUUGUUGAUUGGAAUGAUAGUUGCGAGUGCAAAAAUUGUUAUUUCCUUUUUUUUAGGAUACAUCAUGUAGGUCGAUAUUGAAGUGACAAAUUUGCAGGAGUGUAAAUGCUGAUGACAUGGGUGGCUAAAAAAAUCAAGCUUGGAAAACUUGAAAAAUCAUUUAGUGAAGUGUUUGUACUUCUAAUGUUUUUUUCUAUUCACUUUCUACAUUACUUAAUGGGUAUAACUAUGAUGGUUAUUCAAAAGGUUUGUUAGUCAGUCAACAUGUCCAAGUAUGUAAAAAAAACUUGAGUUUGUUUGAUGUGUUUGGUAAUACAACUGAGAGGCGGUGUUAAAAUAAUACUAUAUCUGUUCCAGUUUUUUACCAAACAUUUUAUUGAUAUUAAUAUUAUUUGUUUUUUUUAUUUUGUAUGUUGGGCUUGCUGGAUUAUUCUACAAGUGUUGUGGGCUUACAAAAAUAAAGACAUAAAAGGUUAAGUGUGAGAUGGGCUUUUAGGGCGCUGGAACUAGCAGCUAUAUAAACAGAAGUGCAACAUCAGUCAACGUGCUGAAAAGGGAUUUUCACAAGAGUGAGUUCAUCAGAAUGCAAGAACCUGUUUGUUCACUGUAGAAAUCACCACCAGCUGUUCUUCCACUACUUACACUCGUGACCAGAUCAGUCUAGCCUUCGGCAAUGCUUACGGCAAUUAGGUUUAUGUGCCGAGAAUAGAUGAUCCGUCAACGAGGACGUUUGAGCGGUGUUCAUCGGAUACGUUUGAGAUAUAUGGGCCGUGUACGUAUGAGGUAUGUUAUUUGUAUUUGUACAGGAGUGGAUACGACGGGUGGAUUCCAGAGAGAGUAAUUGUGUAAUGAGGUUUUCAACUUCUUUGUUAUGGUGAAAACGUAAUCUAUCAUGUCCGUUGUUACAAAUCAUCAUAAUUGAUCACUUUCUAUUGUUGAAGAACUCACAAUUUUGUGAGUUCUAGGGUUGGUGGUCUUUUUUGGUUUGGGUAUAAUCACUUAACAAAAGUUUCCGUCAUCGUUCUUGUCGC